AGAGGUCAUCAGCAGACGGGACAGACUGACAGUCGAUCAGGUGAAGGUUUCUCUGCAGAAGCACAUUUUUAUUUUCCUCUUCAUGUCUCGUCUUUAACUCUCCACCUUAGUGAGGGAUCAUGGGUAAUAUGCAGCAUGGUCGGCCUGUAGUGGGGGGCCCAGAGGGUGAGUUGGGGUUGGGGGGUGGGGGCGUGGCCCUGAGUGAGAACAGGAGGAUUCUCAGGGAUCAGGUUACAGGUGUGUCUCCUUCACUUUGGCUGUUACAGUAAUUACCUGAGGAGGUUUUCACUUCACUUUCUGCUGAGUCAGGGACUUUAUUUUUGAUUUUCAGCGCCGCUCUCAUCGACAUUUACUCACACCUGAGACAACAGAAAAAUGAGACACAAAUUAGACAGAAAUAAGAUGAAAAUAAAACAGAAAAAAUACAGAAAAAAAAUACAAAAAAAAGACAGAAAUAAGAUGAAAAAAGGACAAAAAUAAUACAAAAUAAUACAGAAAUAAUUAGACAAAAAAAAGACAAGAAAUAAGAUGAAAAUAAAACAGAAAAAAUACAGAAAAAAAUACAAAAAAAAGACAAAUAAGAUGAAAAUAAAACAGAAAAAAAUACAAAAAAAAGACAAAAAUAAGAUGAAAAAAGGACAAAAAUAAUACAAAAUAAUACAGAAAUAAUUAGACAAAAAUAAGACAAAAGUUAGACAGAAAUUACGCAGAAAAAAGACACUUAAACUAACUUUACUAACCCUUUAACCAACUGACCCAAACCCAUCUGAACCUCAGCUUUAAACUGAACCCAAACCAGACUAAACUAAACCAAGUUUAACUAAACUAAACCAAGUUUAACUAAACUAAACCAAGUUUAACUAAACUAACCUUGACUUCCUCAGAUCUCAGUCUCUGACCUGAAGUGAACAGCUGAACGUCGCCUCAUGUGUUCACAGUUUCAGCUGAAUCUGAACUUCUGUUCCUGUGAGCAGCUGAAGCUCCUGCAGACAGAAAACCAAACUCUGUCUUUACUCGCUGGGAUUUGACCAUUAAACAUGAACUCAUGUGGGAUUGUUUUGGCGCCUAAAGCGAACACCUUUCUGGGAGUCUUUAGCAGCGGCGGCGGCGGCGGUGGCGUGCAGUGAUUCAUGGACUUCUUCUUCUUCUCUGCUGAUUGUUCCCGUGUUCCCCCUGAUUGGUCGAUGAUUGAUGGAUUACUCUCUGAGCUCAGACAGGAAGUGUAGCUGGGCCUGAUUAAUUUAUUUGUACAGAGCCGUUUCUCUCUGAUGGUUAGAGAAAUGUGCAUCAGUCUCCACAUGUUCAUGUUUCCCGACACGUCUGCGGCGGCGGCGCUGCUGGAGGACAGACCUUCAUAAACCCGUGAGGAGCAAAGAAAAGCUCCUUUGUUUGGGGGGCGUUCAGUCCUGCAGACGAGUCUAUCCAGGUGCCUCCAGAGGAACUCGCACUUUAUUGGCCUGGUGAGAGUUUUUAAUCUGUUCGGGGUUCCUGCCAUCCCCGCGGGCCAGGGGGCGGAGACUGAGGAGACGCUGAGGGAUGGAGUUUUUUACAGGGACGCCAUCGCUCAACCGCGUGAUCAGGGCGAGUAAGUGCAGAACAACGAGGAAGACGGCGGCGUAAAUCUGUCAGAGGAGGAGGAGGAGGAGGAGGAGGAGGAAGAGGAGUAGGAGGAGGAAGAGGAGUAGGAGGAGGAGGAGGAGAAGAGGAGAGGAGGAGAGGAGGAGGAGAAGAGGAGGAGGGGGAGGAGGAGAGGAGGAGGAGGAGGAGGAAGAGGAGGAGGAAGAGGAGGAGGAAGAGGAAGAGGGCAUGCUGCAACUUGAAGCCUGCAGCCGAGCCAGCGUGAUCACCGCUCAGUUAAUCUGCAAGCUGGAAAAUACACACACACACACACACACACACACACACACACACACACACACACACACACACACACACUCUCUCACACACACACACACACACACACUCACACACACACACACACACUCUCUCACACACACACACACACACACACACACACACACACACACACACACACACACACACACACACACACACACACACACACACACACACACACACACACACACACACACACACACACACACACACACAGACUCACACACACACACUCACACACACACACACACACACACUCUCUCACACACACACACACAGUUAUCUAAAGUCUAAUUUCUCGAUCUUUAAACGUUUCACUCUCAGAAAAGUGUCGCUCGGAUAACUCCUGACCCGCUCCGUCUUUAUCCGUGGAUCGGCGCCGCUCUCCUCCUCUCUGUCUAAAUGUUUGGAUGUAUUGCAGAAACAGCCCACAGGGGUCAAAGGUCAGAGCAGCGGUGAAGGGGUGACCCCUCAUGAGAGCGUUCAGCUCAAAUUAACCCUCAGAUUGUCGUUCACGGUCAGGAGAGUUCACCUCGGUUCACCCAAAGAAAACAUUUGCUUCACCGCAGACACUCGAACGCUGAGAACGAAGGUUCACCUCAACGCCACUCUGAGGAGAGUCAGGACUACGGGUGGACC